UACGUAGGGUGCAAGCGUUAAUCGGAAUUACUGGGCGUAAAGCGUGCGCAGGCGGUUAUGUAAGACAGUUGUGAAAUCCCCGGGCUCAACCUGGGAACUGCAUCUGUGACUGCAUAGCUAGAGUACGGUAGAGGGGGAUGGAAAUUCCGCGUGUAGCAGUGAAAUGCGUAGAUAUGCGGAGGAACACCGAUGGCCGAAGGCAAUCCCCUGGACCUGUA
rnacentral:rRNA from 1 species